AUGAUGGCUGUGCUGGCGCUGACCUUAGCCCUGAUGGUGGUGUCCGUGGUCAGGCAGAGUGACAGCCAGCCACUGCGGACAGAUCCUAUAGAGCUGACAGAGCUGUUGGCAAUUUUACGGGCAGCUGGGCCUGGAGGAGGAGAGGCAGCGUUGGUGGACGGCUACCCAGGGGAGGAGGGCCUGUUGUCUGAAAGUGAGCAGCUGGACAAGAGGGACCUUCCCCGACUUGGUGUCUCCGUCUUCCGCUCCAGUCCGUCGAGAGUCACCAACAGCAGGACGUAUAAAGAAGGUGGUAAAUGCCGUGCUUUCUAUCGACAUGCCUGAGAGGAAGUCUGGAAUCCAUGGUUGAAAGUCCCCAUUUUGUCUGACACUUGUAUCUGAUCGAAUGCUAUGUUUGAAAUCUAUUUUCAGUACUGGAUAUUUAUCAUUUAAGUUCUCUAUGACAUGCUAUGUGCUAUACAAGCCUUGUGACGUCAAUAAAGCUCUGUGUUGUAAACUGUGAAUCUUCCUG
rnacentral:lncRNA from 1 species